ensembl:lncRNA
UAUCCUGUGUCUAAGUAUUUUCUACUUACCAUAUUAAAAAUUUACAUAAGAUUUAUAAUAAUCUUUUGAUCAGUAUUAUUAUUUCAUUUAAUUAACUGGACUAGCAAACAUUAGAAAUAGUUCAGCAAAUAUACAAGGAUAUAGGCCUUUUGAAAAAGCAUUUUAGUCUUUUUAUAGCCUGUUUUGAUUUUAAUAUGAAUGUACUGGUCACUUACAUUAAUAUUGCGCUUCACAGGCAUAAGGUCAUCUCCUGAAGUCAGAUAUAGAAGGAACAUUUCCAGAGAUUUGUUUUGGUGUCCACAUCUUGAGCGAAUUCAUCUUCAUCUUCUGUUAUCUCUCUUUCCUGACAUCUAAAGCAUACUAAAGUGAGCCUAAAGGGACUCUGGAGAGGCUAUAAAUGCAUUACCCACCUGUGGACCAUCCUUUCUGAAAAAGAGGGCUACUGAUAGGCUGCAGGCGUGCAGCACAUUCCACUGCAGACCUUGUACCCGUGAUACAGUUGUCCUGUGAACUCACACAUGGCAGAGGAAUGAUAGAGCUUCCACUUUCUGUGAAGAGUCAAAUAUGGUUGGAUAAAAUAGCUGUGAUUGAUUUGUGCAUAUGACUGGUUUGUGGGAGGUAAUGGUCUGAAAUGGGCACUCCUGCAGUACUGGAAUGUUUCGGUCGCCCUCGGGGUCCACAGCGCUUUUAUCGUUUGGUCAGACCUUUUCAGCGCAUCCAAUGCCACCCAGAGACGCAGCUUCGUCCUUGUCUCUUCCCUCGCAUGAACGGUCACUCAAAAUCACAGUGGGCGAAUCGUGACUCAGCUGUUGGCUAUGACAGCGCAUCAGUGAUGAGCAGUGAGCUGGAAUCCAGCUCUUUUAUCGACAGCGAGGAGGAUGAGGAUGCCAGCAGGUCAGACAUUACUCAAUAUUUCAUUUCCUUGGAAUAAUUAAAUGUGAAUCUGUUUGCCUCAGAGUGCAGGAUUCAUUUUCUUUCAAACAAUGACUGUACUUAUUUGCCCAUCUCACUCUAAUUUAAUUUGUAGAGCUGGCCAAAGAAUUAAAAUAUUGAAUUCCAUAGUUCAUGCAUUCAUGAUUAAAAUUAAAAUGCUCCUAUUUUGUCCUAAAAUUUAAAAAAAAAUUCAAAUAAAUACUAAAAUCAUUAAUCA